rnacentral:rRNA from 1 species
AGAAUCAACGCUGGCGGCGUGCCUAACACAUGCAAGUCGCACGAGAAAGGGACUUCGGUCCUGAGUACAGUGGCGCACGGGUGAGUAACACGUGAAUAAUCUACCUCCGAGUGGGGAAUAACUGAGAGAAAUCUUAGCUAAUACCGCAUAACACUUACGAGUCAAAGCAGCAAUGCGCUUGGAGAGGAGUUCGCGGCAGGAUUAGUUAGUUGGCGGGGUAAUGGCCACCAAGACGAUGAUCUGUAUCCGGCCUGAGAGGGCGCACGGACACACUGGAACUGAAACACGGUCCAGACUCCUACGGGAGGCAGCAGUGGGGAAUUUUGCGCAAUGGGGGAAACCCUGACGCAGCAACGCCGCGUGGAGGAUGAAAUCCCUUGGGAUGUAAACUCCUUUCGAUAGGGAAGAUAAUGACGGUACCUAUAGAAGAAGCCCCGGCUAACUUCGUGCCAGCAGCCGC